CAUUUAAGUGUUACAUUGUUUACUGUUGUGCUGUUUGUCUGCUCCCAAAUUGUUUCAUGUGUGCGCCGUUUGGUUGGCAGCUUCGGCGAUGCUUUCCAUAAGUCGUCGUUUAGUUGGUUUAUUUUUUCAGUGAAGCAUUGCCGCUAGCUAGUUAGCAUUAGCGAAACGUUCAAUAGCAACUACCUUCGUUGCAGCUCGGCCCCGGAGUUCAAUAGGCGUAAAUAGGUUCAACUUAAGAGGCGGUGGCUGUGUCGAAUUAAAUAUUUUAUAUUAAACUUUGAUUCUUUCAAUAAUCGCAAUAGGGACUUUUACGGUGAGUACGGCGACCAGAUAUGACGUCACAUUGUAGUUUUCCCCACCCUCGUGUUUACUUGUAGGCCACAAAUCGGCGACCAAAUAUGACGUCACAUUGUAGUUUUAUUACGUUGAGUUUACUUGGAUGCAACAAAUAUAUCUUACAAUGGUUUUCACUAUUACGCAUACUGUAAUAUAAAUAAAUUUUGAUGUUUAGUAGACAAACAACGCAUCCUAUGUUGAAAAAUCAAUGGACAUUUUGGGGUUAAAUUGUUGCGUUGGAAAGUGACGUCACCACGCCAAGUCUCGCGUGAGUUAUAGCCGCUUAUCGCGAUUGUUGCAGCCCGCGCGCAGUGGUCAGUCACAGACGGCGGUUAUCGACAGAGACUGUUGCUGUGAUUGUGUGCGUGUUUGCCAGAAAGUGAAUUGCUUUGAUCAGUUGAACUGCUUUGAUCAGAGUUCAUUCGCUUUGACCAAAGGCUGCCGACUGAGUCCCAACCCACCCCAACCCUCUUUAUCGCUGCUCCACCUUUUGUCUCUGACUUCUUUCACUCACUGUCCAUCUUGUGGUGUUGAUAAGACAAUCUGAUGUGUGGAUAAGACAAUCUGACUUGUGGAUAAGACAAUCUGAUUUGUGGAUAAGACAAUCUGACUUGUGGAUAAGACAAAAACCCUUUUUGGGCUGUGCAUUGAAAUAUAUCCCCUUGCAUCGGGGCCUGACUGUUGAGACUUCUUUAUUACCUGUUGUGUGGAAUCCAAUUGAGAAAAGACACGAGCCAUGCCACGCAAAAGCAAGAAGGCGCAAGCUGCCAAGGUAAGCUGGCAACAGCGUAAAAACAACACAGACUCUGGAAGUGCAGAUAAACCAACAACUGCCAAAGAAUUGAUGGCCAUUGAACCUGAAAACUCUAUGGAGGUAAUGAUGUCUACAUCUCAUGAUCCUGUAACAUGUGUUUUGGCAUCCUACAGUCAAGAUCAUCCAAAGUAUGCCGAUUCCAGAAACAGUCAGUGUGCUGCAAACUCUGCUACAUUUCUAGCUUUCCUGCAGGAGAUAGAGAAUGUGACCAGUGCUCACCUGGACCUUGUUCUCGAUCGAGGCAAUGAGCUUUAUGUGGCUACUGUGGCUGUGCUGAAAGCAGAAGGACGGUACGAACAUCAUCAUUUGGCAACCGAUGAAAUCCCAUCCAUUGUGAACGGCUUGCACAAACAGCAUGUGUUAAUAAAGUAUCAGUCAAUGUA